CCUACGGGUGGCAGCAGUAGGGAAUAUUGCUCAAUGGGGGAAACCCUGAAGCAGCAACGCCGCGUGGAGGAUGAAGGUUUUCGGAUUGUAAACUCCUUUUGUUAGAGAGGAUAAUGACGGUAUCUAACGAAUAAGCACCGGCUAACUCCGUGCCAGCAGCCGCGGUAAUACGGAGGGUGCAAGCGUUACUCGGAAUCACUGGGCGUAAAGAGAGCGUAGGCGGGAUAGCAAGUCAGAUGUGAAAGCCUAGGGCUUAACCAUAGAACUGCAUUUGAAACUGUUAUUCUAGAGUAUGGGAGAGGUAGGUGGAAUUCUAGGUGUAGGGGUAAAAUCCGUAGAGAUCAAGAGGAAUACUCAUUGCGAAGGCAACCUGCUAGAACAUUACUGACGCUGAUGCGCGAAAGCGUGGGGAGCAAACAGGAUUAGAUACCCUAGUAGUC
rnacentral:rRNA from 1 species